CACGUAGGGUGCGAGCGUUGUCCGGAAUUAUUGGGCGUAAAGAGCUUGUAGGCGGUUUGUCGCGUCUGCCGUGAAAAUCCGAGGCUCAACCUCGGACUUGCGGUGGGUACGGGCAGACUAGAGUGUGGUAGGGGAGACUGGAAUUCCUGGUGUAGCGGUGAAAUGCGCAGAUAUCAGGAGGAACACCGAUGGCGAAGGCAGGUCUCUGGGCCACUACUGACGCUGAGAAGCGAAAGCAUGGGGAGCGAACAGG
rnacentral:rRNA from 1 species